rnacentral:rRNA from 1 species
GACGAGCGGCGGACGGGUGAGGAAAACGUGGGAAUCUACCCUCAAGCGGGGGACAACCAAGGGAAACUUUGGCUAAUACCGCAUAAACUCGAGAGAGCAAAGCUGCCGUAAGGUGGCACUUGAGGAGGAGCCUGCGUCCGAUUAGCUAGUUGGUGAGGUAAGAGCUCACCAAGGCGAUGAUCGGUAACUGGUCUGAGAGGACGACCAGUCACACUGGGACUGAGACACGGCCCAGACUCCUACGGGAGGCAGCAGUGGGGAAUCUUGGACAAUGGGGGCAACCCUGAUCCAGCGAUGCCGCGUGAGUGAAGAAGGCCUUCGGGUCGUAAAGCUCUUUAGGUUGGGACGAAGUUUGGUAGGGGAUAAUCCUAUCAAGUUGACGGUACCGACAGAAUAAGCACCGGCAAACUCUGUGCCAGCAGCCGCGGUAAUACAGAGGGUGCGAGCGUUAAUCGGAGUUACUGGGCGUAAAGGGCGCGUAGGCGGUAAGAUGUGUGUGAUGUGAAAGCCCCGGGCUUAACCUGGGAAGUGCAUCGCAAA